rnacentral:rRNA from 1 species
ACUCCUACGGGAGGCAGCAGUGGGGAAUUUUGGACAAUGGGGGCAACCCUGAUCCAGCCAUCCCGCGUGUGCGAUGAAGGCCUUCGGGUUGUAAAGCACUUUUGGCAGGGAAGAAACGGCGCUGAUUAAUACUUGGCGCAACUGACGGUACCUGCAGAAUAAGCACCGGCUAACUACGUGCCAGCAGCCGCGGUAAUACGUAGGGUGCAAGCGUUAAUCGGAAUUACUGGGCGUAAAGCGUGCGCAGGCGGUUUGGAAAGAAAGAUGUGAAAUCCCAGAGCUUAACUUUGGAACUGCAUUUUUAACUGCCAAGCUAGAGUAUGUCAGAGGGGGGUAGAAUUCCACGUGUAGCAGUGAAAUGCGUAGAGAUGUGGAGGAAUACCGAUGGCGAAGGCAGCCCCCUGGGAUAAUACUGACGCUCAUGCACGAAAGCGUGGGGAGCAAACAGGAUUAGAUACCCUGGUAGUCCACGCCCUAAACGAUGUCAACUAGCUGUUGGGGCCUUCGGGCCUUAGUAGCGCAGCUAACGCGUGAAGUUGACCGCCUGGGGAGUACGGUCGCAAGAUUAAAACUCAAAGGAAUUGACGGGGACCCGCACAAGCGGUGGAUGAUGUGGAUUAAUUCGAUGCAACGA